rnacentral:rRNA from 1 species
GAUGAACGCUGGCGGCGUGCCUAAUACAUGCAAGUCGAGCGAACGGACGAGAAGCUUGCUUCUCUGAUGUUAGCGGCGGACGGGUGAGUAACACGUGGAUAACCUGCCUAUAAGACUGUGAUAACUUCGGGAAACCGGAGCUAAUACCGGAUAAUAUUUUGAACCGCAUGGUUCAAAAGUGAAAGACGGUCUUGCUGUCACUUAUAGAUGGAUCCGCGCUGCAUUAGCUAGUUGGUAAGGUAACGGCUUACCAAGGCAACGAUGCAUAGCCGACCUGAGAGGGUGAUCGGCCACACUGGAACUGAGACACGGUCCAGACUCCUACGGGAGGCAGCAGUAGGGAAUCUUCCGCAAUGGGCGAAAGCCUGACGGAGCAACGCCGCGUGAGUGAUGAAGGUCUUCGGAUCGUAAAACUCUGUUAUUAGGGAAGAACAUAUGUGUAAGUAACUGUGCACAUCUUGACGGUACCUAAUCAGAAAGCCACGGCUAACUACGUG